UACGAAGGGGGCUAGCGUUGCUCGGAAUCACUGGGCGUAAAGGGCGCGUAGGCGGGAUGGCAAGUCGGUCGUGAAAUCCUUCGGCUCAACCGAAGAACGUCGGCCGAUACUGCCGUUCUUGAGGGAUGCAGAGGAGAUUGGAAUUCCCGGUGUAGCAGUGAAAUGCGUAGAUAUCGAGAGGAACACCGGUGGCGAAGGCGGCCUUCUGGACAGUGACUGACGCUGAGACGCGAAAGCGUGGGGAGCAAACAGG
rnacentral:rRNA from 1 species